rnacentral:rRNA from 1 species
AUGACCAACCGUAAAGUAGCUAGAGUGUUAUGCCUCCUAGUCUUUUUGGCUAUCUAUUCUUGUUCGCGCAAUGCACAACCAAUCCAUGGAGUAGAUCACUGCACCAUCGAUAAAAAUAACGUGAUAGAAUACUGCAAGGGUAUCAUCGAAAAGAAUCUUGGCAACCAGGUUCCGCAACCGUGGACCCUAUGUUGUGGUACAAUAAGAGGUGUGACGGACAUCCACUGCAUCUGUGAUCGGUUCGCCGCUCACGAUCUGACUAGGAUCAGUCUACCCAAGUUCGCAUGUAUGGCAUAUAUAUGCGGCAAAGGGUUGCACCCACACACUCAUUGUGCAGGUUACCUUGUUCCGGUCAUGAAGGUACGACCUCCACCCCCCGGCAAGCACCUAGGCCUUCAGUGUAAGAACACUCAUAAUGGGAAUAAUUGA